rnacentral:lncRNA from 1 species
GCAGCUAGGUGAACCCAAUUUCUUUUGUGGUUGAUUUACCUAUAUGAUAAGUUUUAACCAAUUUCUACACUUGAUUUGAACCUAAUUGAAUUUGAUUCAAUAAGAUCUAAUGGUUGGAUGUUUUAUUUAUAGUUUGAAUUAAAUCAAGAAGGAGUUUCUUGAUUUGAUUUAUUAAGAACCCUUGAAGAGAAUUUAUGAAACUAUGUGGUCUGAUUUGAGACUUUUAACUGGAUCCCAUAUGAUGGGAUGCCUAGCAUUAGGUGUGGACUUGGGUGAGAUAUGGAUGGUGCCCAAUUUAUUUAAUCCAAGUAUAUUUUGGCUAAGACUUCUAAUAUGAUUAGGAGGAGGGAUCCUAAUUUGAUUAGGAUACCCUUAAGUUGUUUAUAUAAAGGACUAAAGCCUUUACUUCUCGCAUAAACUCUCUUCCUCCUAUC